GAUGAACGCUGGCGGCGUGCCUAAUACAUGCAAGUCGAGCGAACAGAUAAGGAGCUUGCUCCUUUGACGUUAGCGGCGGACGGGUGAGUAACACGUGGGUAACCUACCUAUAAGACUGGGAUAACUUCGGGAAACCGGAGCUAAUACCGGAUAACAUUUGGAACCGCAUGGUUCUAAAGUGAAAGAUGGUUUUGCUAUCACUUAUAGAUGGACCCGCGCCGUAUUAGCUAGUUGGUAAGGUAACGGCUUACCAAGGCGACGAUACGUAGCCGACCUGAGAGGGUGAUCGGCCACACUGGAACUGAGACACGGUCCAGACUCCUACGGGAGGCAGCAGUAGGGAAUCUUCCGCAAUGGGCGAAAGCCUGACGGAGCAACGCCGCGUGAGUGAUGAAGGGUUUCGGCUCGUAAAACUCUGUUAUUAGGGAAGAACAAAUGUGUAAGUAACUGUGCACAUCUUGACGGUACCUAAUCAGAAAGCCACGGCUAACUACGUGCCAGCAGCCGCGGUAA
rnacentral:rRNA from 1 species